GAUGAACGCUGGCGGCGUGCUUAACACAUGCAAGUCGAACGAUGAAGCUCAGCUUGCUGGGUGGAUUAGUGGCGAACGGGUGAGUAACACGUGAGUAACCUGCCCUCAACUCUGGGAUAAGCCUGGGAAACUAGGUCUAAUACCGGAUAGGAGCGCCUACCGCACGGUGGGUGUUGGAAAGAUUUAUCGGUUUUGGAUGGACUCGCGGCCUAUCAGCUUGUUGGUGAGGUAAUGGCUCACCAAGGCGACGACGGGUAGCCGGCCUGAGAGGGUGACCGGCCACACUGGGACUGAGACACGGCCCAGACUCCUACGGGAGGCAGCAGUGGGGAAUAUUGCACAAUGGGCGAAAGCCUGAUGCAGCGACGCCGCGUGCGGGAUGACGGCCUUCGGGUUGUAAACCUCUUUCAGUAGGGAAGAAGCGAAAGUGACGGUACCUGCAGAAGAAGCACCGGCUAACUACGUG
rnacentral:rRNA from 1 species